rnacentral:snoRNA from 2 species
GGCCACGACGAUUUGCCGUCAGAGAGUGAAGCUCUGCGUCGCUCUGAUGGCAGUGUACUCAGUGGCAUAUUAAAAAAUUGGUCACUCUUCUUAAUUUGGGCCUUCAGUUGACAACUGACUGUUGGCCUUAACACUGAAAGAGACAUCU